CAGGAAUCUGUCUAAGCAAGGCGAGUUCCCAGCCUGGCAUCAAUGAAUGAGAGACAGUCCUUCUAGGAGGGGGCUCUCCAUUUAUUAAUCUGUGCUGCCUCCCAGCAAGGCGUCCAUCCUCCAUUGCACAAGUAGGGAGCCAGGGCUCUGCUUUAAAGGGACCCCAGAGAGGAGCAGGGGCCAGUGGAGGAAGAUAAAGACACAAG